CUGGUGGCGAGUGGCGAACGGGUGAGUAACAUAUCGGAACAUGUCCGGAAGUGGGGGAUAACGUAGCGAAAGUUACGCUAAUACCGCAUAUGCCCUGAGGGGGAAAGGGGGGGAUCGCAAGACCUCUCGCUUUCGGAGUGGCCGAUAUCGGAUUAGCUAGUAGGUGAGGUAAAGGCUCACCUAGGCGACGAUCCGUAGCUGGUCUGAGAGGACGACCAGCCACACUGGAACUGAGACACGGUCCAGACUCCUACGGGAGGCAGCAGUGGGGAAUUUUGGACAAUGGGGGCAACCCUGAUCCAGCCAUACCGCGUGAGUGAAGAAGGCCUUCGGGUUGUAAAGCUCUUUCGGCAGGAAAGAAAUCGUGCAGAUUAAUACUCUGUAUGGAUGACGGUACCUGAAGAAGAAGCACCGGCUAACUACGUGCCAGCAGCCGCGGUAAUACGUAGGGUGCGAGCGUUAAUCGGAAUUACUGGGCGUAAAGCGUGCGCAGGCGGUUUCGUAAGACAGAUGUGAAAUCCCCGGGCUUAACCUGGGAACUGCAUUUGUGACUGCGAGACUAGAGUGUAGCAGAGGGGGGUAGAAUUCCACGUGUAGCAGUGAAAUGCGUAGAUAUG
rnacentral:rRNA from 1 species